rnacentral:rRNA from 1 species
GACGAACGCUGGCGGCGUGCUUAACACAUGCAAGUCGAACGGAAAGGCCCUGCUUUUGUGUGGUUCUCGAUUGGCGAACGGGUGAGUAACACGUGAGUAACCUGCCCUUGACUUUGGGAUAACUUCAGGAAACUGGGGCUAAUACCGGAUAGGAGCUCCUGCUGCAUGGUGGGGGUUGGAAAGUUUCGGCGGUGGGGGAUGGACUCGCGGCUUAUCAGCUUGUUGGUGGGGUAGUGGCUUACCAAGGCUUUGACGGGUAGCCGGCCUGAGCGGGUGACCGGCCACAUUGGGACUGAGAUACGGCCCAGACUCCUACGGGAGGCAGCAGUGGGGAAUAUUGCACAAUGGGCGGAAGCCUGAUGCAGCAACGCCGCGUGCGGGAUGACGGCCUUCGGGUUGUAAACCGCUUUCGCCUGUGGCGAAGCGUGAGUGACGGUAAUGGGUAAAGAAGCACCGGCUAACUACGUG